rnacentral:rRNA from 1 species
GACGAACGCUGGCGGCGUGCUUAACACAUGCAAGUCGAGCGGUAAGGCCUCCUUUGGGGGUACGACGAGCGGCGAACGGGUGAGUAACACGUGGGUGACCUGCCCUCCAGCUCUGGGAGUAAGCCUGGGAAACGUAGGGUCGUAAUACUGGAUAUGACUCCACGGUGCAUGUCGUGGGGUGGAAAGCCUUGUGCGGCUGAGGA